UAGCUGCUUAGAGGAAGCCCCACUCAACAUGGGGCUGUGGUGAAGAUUCAAUGAACUGAUACUCUAACUGCUUAGAAGAAGCCAGGUAAACGUGGGGCUGUCAUAGAGAUUCAAUGAGCUGAUACUGUAGCUGCUUAGAAGAAGCCUGGUCAACAUGGGGCUGUCAUGGAGAUUCAAUGAGCUGAUACUGUAGCUGCUUAGAGGAAGUCUGGCUCAACAUGGGGCGCAUGCACUGUCAGCCUCUAUGACCACCUGCGGCGUCCAAAGGCCCUUGUGCCACAAGGUCAGAGCAUGGGAUGUCAUGGGACAGAAUUCCAAGGAUUAAUCCGACCUGGUGAGGCUUCUCCAGCAGGAGGAGAAAUGGAACCUGAUAUGAGCAGCUGCUGGGAAAAAAGCCCAAGACGAGUUACAAUGCAUCUGUGGAGCACAAGUCAGGGCCUGGAAGAAUGGAGGACGCCAUUGCAAUGUACAAGCAUAUAGAAGUCAAGACCUAAGCCCAGCAUCUUCCUGUGUUCUCUCUGGCUGGAGUGACGAUUGAAGAUCAUUUAACCUGAAUGUCCACAUUGAGAUCUGCUCAUACUAACAGCACUUUCAGAAUUGUAUAUAUUAAUAACCCAAUUUUUUAUAGAUAUGGUAGCACAAAAUACUAAAUAUGAAAAGUAGGUGUAUUAGUCUGUUCUCAUGCUGCUGUAAGGACAUAUCCGAGACUGAGUAAUUUAUAAAGGAAGGAGGCUUAAUUGACUCACAGUUAUGCAGGACUAGGGAGGCCUCAGGAAACUUAGAAGGGGAAGCAAACACUUCCUUCUUCACAUGGCGCAGCAAGGAGAAGAAUGGGUGCUCAGAGAAGGGAAGUCCCUGAUAAAACCAUCAGCUCUCGUGAGAACUCACUCAUGAGAGUGAGAACAGGAUGGGGGAAACUGCCCCCAUGAUUCAGUUUUCUCUACCUGGUCCUUCCCAUGACACGUGGGGAUUAUGGGAACUAUAAUUCCAGAUGAGAUUUGGGUGGGGACACAGCCAGACCAUAUCGGUCGUGGGGAUUAUGGGAACUAUAAUUCCAGAUGAGGUUUGGGUGGGGACACAGCCAGACCAUAUCAGUAGGCAUAGGAAGAAAUAAGUGGACUUAAAAGAAUUAUGCCUUAGAAAAACAAAAUACCCCGUGAAUCAACUGGGUUUACAUGAACAAAUAAAAGAGGAGCUACACAAAAUCCUAUGUAUUUAGUGACAAAAAGACAAUGAAAAAAAUUGUAUUUUCAGUCUUCUGUCCCAAAUCAGAAGUUUUAGUGCCUGUUCAUUUGAAAAUGACUUUUUAAAACCCAUGAAGUUAUUUUUAAUGGGAGUCUUAUUUAUUAAAGAUUCUUCUUGCUAUCUGCAGAUCCCAACAAGAUUCUUCGGUGUCCUCAGCUUGUUCGUCUCCCUUUCCUUGGUAGACUUUUCUCUUGGUCUGUACUUGAAGUGCCUCCUGCCAAGUAGGAAAUGAAGAGUCAGUCCAUGUGCCGGGCUCAGGCCCUGCCGUUUUAGUGGCUUAAUGGAUGGCUUGGCACAACUAGGGAGCAAUGGUAUCUCCCACCCUGAGAUGGACACUGUUGCACUCAGAGUGGCCAGCAGGGUGUGGGUUGACCCUAGUAGCACAUUAAGCUCAGUUCAGAGUGGCAGGAACUUCAGCCACCAGGAGAAUGUGCAAGGGCCACCCAAACUGUAGGACAAGCUAGGAAUCCAGUAAAGAAGAGGUCCCUGGCAGUCCCUUUGGAAUCCCUGUGACUCCUUCUUUCAUUCAUUCCUUCAUUCAUUCAACAAAUAGGUGUUGAGCACUUGUGACAUGCCAACUUCUGUUUUGGGCAUUCAAGAUACAUCAGUAAACAAAACAGGCAAAGAUUGAUUGCUGCCUUCAUGGAGCUUAUGUGCUGGGGAGGGAGGUAUGCA
rnacentral:lncRNA from 1 species